rnacentral:rRNA from 1 species
AGGAUGAACGCUGGCGGCGUGCCUAAUACAUGCAAGUCGAGCGGUAAGGCCACUUCGGUGGUACACGAGCGGCGGACGGCUGAGUAACACGUAGGAACGUACCCCAAAGUGAGGCAUAAGCACCAGAAAUGGUGUCUAAUACCGCAUGUGGCCUAACAGGCUAAAGCUCCGGCGCUUUGGGAACGGCCUGCGCAUGAUUAGCUUGUUGGUGAGGUAAAAGCUCACCAAGGCAGUGAUCAUUAGCUGGUCUGAGAGGAUGACCAGCCAGACUGGGACUGAGAACGGCCCAGACUCCUACGGGAGGCAGCAGUAGGGAAUUUUCCACAAUGGGCGAAAGCCUGAUGGAGCAACGCCGCGUGCAGGAUGAAGGCUCUAGGGUCGUAAACUGCUUUUAUCUGUGACGAAUAUGACGGUAGCAGAUGAAUAAGGAUCGGCUAACUCCGCGCCGAGCAGCCGCGGU